AUGGUGGAUGCUAUUCUAGUCAAUGUGCCAAUUACCCGAAAAAGUCUUGUAUGAAUGAAGGCUAACACCUGGGUCUGCCACAUCCAGAGACAUACAAUGUCUACCUGUUCAUAUCCUUCGACUCUAAAGAGAAAAUACACAGAUCACAGACACAUGAGGGACAGCUUUGAUAAUCUGAACAGGGCCUUUUGCAAGUGCCACCCAGCCAAUGGGGAAGAACAGAGCAAAUCAGAGGGAGGAGGCAAGAGGAGAACAUGAAAAAGACAAACCUGGGGAGGAUUUUAAAAGAAUGUGAAAGAACUGAGGACAGAAGUGGACCAGGUCAUUGUAACAGUUUGAUGUAACACUGAGAGAUAUAUUUGGCUGGGAGAGAGAGAGAGAUUGCUCAUGGUCAGCCACUUCAUAGUGGAUCAGGAUGCUCAAACACACUUUUCUGUGGCUGACACACUGUCAGGUCUCGGAACCUGAAGCCA